CCUACGGGUGGCAGCAGUGGGGAAUAUUGCGCAAUGGCGAAAGCCUGAAGCAGCCACGCCGCGGGAGGGGUGAAGGUCUUCGGAUCGUAAACCGCUGUCAGCAGGGAAGGACGGUCAAUGUACUAAACAGAAGUGAAUUGACGGUACCCGCAAAGGAAGAACCCGCUAACUCCGUGCCAGCAGCCGCGGGAAUACGGAGGGGGCGGGCGUUAAUCGGAAUUACUGGGCGUAAAGCGCUCGUUGGCGGUAUGUCAAGUCAAGUGUGAAACCCCCGCGCUCAACGUGGGAACUGCCUUUGAAACUGGCAAACUGGAGUGUGUGAGAGGAUAGUGGAAUUCCAGGUGUAGGAGUGAAAUCCGUAGAUAUCUGGAGGAACAUCAGUGGCGAAGGCGACUAUCUGGCACAUAACUGACGCUGAGGAGCGAAAGCGUGGGUAGCAAACAGGAUUAGAUACCCUUGUAGUC
rnacentral:rRNA from 1 species